rnacentral:rRNA from 1 species
AUGAUACUGCUUACUAGUGUUUGUUCUCUCUUUUUUGUAUACUACAGAUACAGAUACAGAAAUUACAGACAUUGCAUUAUACUCUUUUUGACAAUUUGUCACUGGUGGAGUACGAACGAACAAUUAUACACUGCAUUUUGCUUGCCACUGGGGUUCAAUUUGCUCCCAGAUCCACAAGUUGAGCAGAUCGGAACAGCAGUGGAGGUGGAGGUGGAGUUGGCCUAUGCCAUUCAUCUUCAAUCCAUCUAUCUGUCUGCAUCCGCAGCUGCGUGGUGGUUGGCUUGGAGCAUCUGGAGCCUGCUGAGAUAA